rnacentral:rRNA from 1 species
AUUGAACGCUGGCGGCAUGCUUUACACAUGCAAGUCGAGCGGCAGCGCGGGGCAACCUGGCGGCGAGCGGCGAACGGGUGAGUAAUGCAUCGGAACGUGUCCCGUAGUGGGGGAUAACCCGGCGAAAGCCGGACUAAUACCGCAUAUUCUCUACGGAGGAAAGGGGGGGACCCGCAAGGGCCUCUCGCUAUGGGAGCGGCCGAUGUCCGAUUAGCUUGUUGGUGAGGUAAUGGCUUACCAAGGCGACGAUCGGUAGCUGGUCUGAGAGGAUGAUCAGCCACACUGGGACUGAGACACGGCCCAGACUCCUACGGGAGGCAGCAGUGGGGAAUUUUGGACAAUGGGGGCAACCCUGAUCCAGCCAUGCCGCGUGCGGGAAGAAGGCCUUCGGGUUGUAAACCGCUUUUGUCCGGAAAGAAAAGGCGCCACCUAAUACGGGGCGUUCUUGACGGUACCGGAAGAAUAAGCACCGGCUAACUACGUGCCAGCAGCCGCGGUAAUACGUAGGGUGCGAGCGUUAAUCGGAAUUACUGGGCGUAAAGCGUGCGCAGGCGGUCCGCAAAGUCUGGUGUGAAAGCCCCGGGCUCAACCUGGGAACUGCAUUGGAAACUAACGGGCUCGAGUGUGGCAGAGGGGGGUGG